rnacentral:lncRNA from 1 species
GCGACUAACAUGCUUACAACUUUUAGAUUAUAUUAUGUUUUUUUAAAGUUUCACCUCUUCAGAGUCCUCACUGGAGUCAGGAUCAUACAUUUUUGCCACAUCUAUGACAUAAAGUUAAGAAACACAUGAGCUUUUCCUGGCAACUGGAAGAAUAGGGAAGAAGGAAGAAGAGAGUGAAAUUAUGGUACAGCUGUAACAGCAGAAUAGCAUAAAUCUGUCAAAGAAGAAUGUAAUCAGUUUGUUUAUAGUGAAACUUAUAGACUUUAGUCCUCUUCUGAGGCUGAGACUGUGGGUAUAUAU